rnacentral:rRNA from 1 species
CAAGGCGACGAUCAGUAGCUGGUCUGAGAGGACGACCAGCCACAUUGGGAUUGAGACACGGCCCAGAUUCUUACGGGAGGCAGCAGUGGGGAAUUUUGGACAAUGGGGGCAACCCUGAUCCAGCAAUGCCGCGUGUGUGAAGAAGGCCUUCGGGUUGUAAAGCACUUUUGUCAGGAACGAAACGGUGGGGGUUAAUAUCCUCUGCUAAUGACGGUACCUGAAGAAUAAGCACCGGCUAACUACGUGCCAGCAGCCGCGGUAAUACGUAGGGUGCGAGCGUUAAUCGGAAUUACUGGGCGUAAAGCGUGCGCAGGCGGUUGUGCAAGUCAGAUGUGAAAUCCCCGGGCUCAACCUGGGAAUGGCAUUUGUGACUGCACGGCUAGAGUGUGUCAGAGGGGGGUAGAAUUCCACGUGUAGCAGUGAAAUGCGUAGAUAUGUGGAGGAAUACCGAUGGCGAAGGCAGCCCCCUGGGAUAACACUGACGCUCAGCA